AAAUUAUUACGUUUUCACGACGACCAAAGCUUGUUCGAAAUUGAGAUGGCUGUUAGGAAAUGCAUUUGGUGCAUACAAGAAAGCGUUUAAUUUUAGUACUGAUUGCCCAAGAAGGCCGGGAGUUUAUGUGUCGAACGGACUCGACAUGGAAAAGGUGAAGGAUCUUAAUUUUCCAAAGACAUUUUUUUAUGGUGAAUAUAGAUUGAAAAUCGCCCUCUAUAGCCCGGCCGGCGAAAAACUUGGUUGUAUCUAUUUUUUUUAUAGAGGUUGUACGUCCAUGGGAAGUAUAGUUUAGCUCUUACUGUUUGUGCCACGCAAUCAAAUACAAUAAUAAUUAUUACUUUUAAGAUAAUUCGGAUAUUACAUCGAUAUUAACAAUAAUAGUAAUUUCACACAAUAUUAUAUUAUAUUGAAAUAGGCUCGUGUGAAUAAUAUCAAUCGAAUUGGCGAGUAAAAUGUAUGCAAUAACAAACUGGCCGGAUUAAACACAAUAUGCAAAUAUCUAAACCACUUAAAUAUAUGACAAACAAUAACCAAAAAACAUCAAUUUUUUGCUUGAUCCGAUUUUGAGAUUUUUUCUAACACGUCAACAUUUUAAGUUUUAAAAUAGAUUUUUGGUGUUUUUACCGUGUUUAUUCCGUUCAAUUAAUUUGCCUUAAUUAUGUAAUGAAUAGAGCUUUUUACUAUAAUAUUAUUUACUGAAUAGUUUAGAAUUUGUAAUUACUUUUUUUACUCAAAAGAAUACUGGUAAAUCUUAAUUUUUAUUCUACAAGUUAAUUUGCAACUUUUGAUGCAACUAAAAAAAUUGUCUCCAUUUUUCUUCAAUUUUUCAAUAGCUGGAUGUGCUAAUGAAAAUUAGCCACCCGGUUUUAAUUCGGAGAUAAAUAAAUGUACUGAUGUAUUUUGGUUCUUGUUUCAAAAUUGUAUUUUAUAGUUUGAAUGAUAAAAAAAAAUUUAAGAAGAAAACAAUAAAACGAUACUGGAUGAUAAUAAAACAAAUUACAAUUAGUGAACACAAUACAGUGAUAUUUAGCGAUAUAAUAACAAAUAAUAUUAUUCAAAAAUACAUUAUAAGUUGGGAAUCGAUGCUCACAUCGAGAGAUUCAAACCUAAGACUUGUACUUUAUUACUCAAAACUUGAACACUCUAAAUAGAUGUUCAUAAUAAUAUUGGAAUGGUUUGAAAAUUUUAUUUCAAGAUUUAACGUGUUUAUGUUAAAAUAUACAAAAUCUGCGAAAAACACAUAAAUGGCUUAAAUAAAAUAUAUCAACUGCAACUCUCUAAUGUAAACAUUAGGUUUGAUAUGAGUUAUUUUAAAACCUUGUACUAAAAAUAAUACCUAUAGUCGAAACACGGGGUCAAAGUGAUGUAUGUUCACUAAAAAUCAUAAAAAAACGAACUAGCUGUGUAAAUAAAUAACAAUAGUGACGCUGCAAAAACCAAUUCGAUUCUGAAUUGUCGGUCGAAAUAUAAGCCUAUCCUCAAAUCGCAAGAAGAACAUAAUUUCAAAAGUCAAUCAAGUUGAUUAGUAUCUAAGAAAUUCAAUCAGCUCAACAAUUUCA